UUUCCGUAGGUGAACCUGCGGAAGGAUCAUUAUUGAGUGAAACACUUCUGGCUUUAUGCUGUUGUGCUGGCCCUUUGGGCAAUGUGCACACGGCUCUGGUCACUUGUUUCUUCUGUUCCACCUAUGCACUGCCUGUAGACACGCUGUGUCUAUGAUAUUUGUUAACACACAACAAUGUUAGUUGGCAUGUUAUAUAUAAUAAUAAAAUAUACAACUUUCAACAACGGAUCUCUUGGCUCUCGCAUCGGUGAAGAACGCAGC
rnacentral:misc_RNA from 1 species